rnacentral:lncRNA from 1 species
CUCCUCCCUGCUUCCCAGAGCAGAAUCCGGAGCCACCUAUUCUCUCCAAGUUUGUCUCGCAGCCAGGCUGGGGACCGUCCGCGAGCGACUCCCGGACCCGGCAAUCAGUCUUCCCUGCCCCAGUGUCGGAGACGAACAAUCACCACCAGCGGCUGCUGAGUGCUAGACGCUUUACUCCCACAGCUCCAAAAGCCACAGACGAGCAGACCCCCAGAAAAUAGUCCUCGCCACUCAGAUGAGGCAGCUCUGGGAAAUUGGGUGAUGUGCUUGGACUCACAAGGCUAAUAACGCUAGGAGAGCAGCGGUUUCAAACCUACAGUACCAGAGGCUGACCUCAACGCAACGCCCGAGGCUGGGCGCAAACCAACCAGUUCGGAAUGCCAUAAUUCACAGAGACAUUCCCACGGACCGGAACCAGAGAGUCCCCCAAGAGCACCGAGUGUGACCGGUACUGGCGGACGAUCACCCCUUAGCAGGAGCUGGAGAACACUUACCAUAAAAGAGAGGGCGAGCGCCUGCCUGGGAGGAAUCCCCAGCGCUGGCAGGUCCGGGACUCCCGGGAGAGAGCUCUGCUGCCACUGCCGCCCACGCAGGGGCGCCCGAGCGACUCCGCGGAUGCUGGCUGCUGCUUCUCAACCAGCGGCGCGUCCUCUCGACUUGUAUCCGGCGGCAGCGCCCUCUCGCUCCGCAGGGUGCCCUGGAGUUAGGGACGUUCUUGGAGAAGUUGACGCUCGGGAGAGGCCGCC